rnacentral:rRNA from 1 species
UGGGGAAUAUUGGACAAUGGGGGAAACCCUGAUCCAGCAAUGCCGCGUGAGUGAAGAAGGCCUUAGGGUUGUAAAGCUCUUUCGCCCGCGAAGAUAAUGACGGUAGCGGGAGAAGAAGCCCCGGCUAACUCCGUGCCAGCAGCCGCGGUAAUACGGAGGGGGCUAGCGUUGUUCGGAAUUACUGGGCGUAAAGCGUACGUAGGCGGAUGCGCAAGUUGGGGGUGAAAUCCCGGGGCUUAACCUCGGAAUUGCCCUCAAAACUGCACGUCUUGAGACCGAGAGAGGUAAGGGGAAUUCCUAGUGUAGAGGUGAAAUUCGUAGAUAUUAGGAAGAACACCAGUGGCGAAGGCGCCUUACUGGCUCGGUACUGACGCUGAGGGACGAAAGCGUGGGGAGCAAACA